GUAAAGUGCUGCCUCUUCAGAACGCCCAAGCUCAGCAUGGAGCUUUGCCAACUGAUGCAGGGCAAUUGCCUCUCUAUCAUUACUAUUUGCAGCCUUUCUGUAACACUUGAUUGCCUCUUCAAGCAUGUGAAGCUGGUCAGUUUCAUAACACUAGCCAUGGCAAUCCACAACCGAAAAUCAUUUGGUUGCAAGAAAACAGACUUCUUAAAA
rnacentral:misc_RNA from 1 species